AACGCGAAGAACCUUACCCAGACUUGACAUCCCUGGAAGUCCGUAGAGAUAUGGACGUGCCCGCAAGGGAGCCGGGAGACAGGUGCUGCAUGGCUGUCGUCAGCUCGUGUCGUGAGAUGUUGGGUUAAGUCCCGCAACGAGCGCAACCCUCGCCUUCAGUUGCCAGCAUUGAGUUGGGCACUCUGGAGGGACUGCCGGUGUCAAGCCGGAGGAAGGUGGGGAUGACGUCAAGUCCUCAUGGCCUUUAUGUCUGGGGCUACACACGUGCUACAAUGGCCGGUACAAAGGGCAGCAAAAGCGCGAGCUUGAGCCAAUCCCAGAAAACCGGUCCCAGUUCGGAUCGAAGUCUGCAACUCGACUUCGUGAAGUCGGAAUCGCUAGUAAUCGCGGAUCAGAACGCCGCGGUGAAUACGUUCCCGGGCCUUGUACACACCGCGCAUA
rnacentral:rRNA from 1 species